rnacentral:rRNA from 1 species
UUAUGCUCGUAGGCGUCGCCCAAGGAUGAGGCCGCGACCGAUCAGGUUGUUGGUGAGGUAAUGGCUCACCAAGCCUUUUACCGGUGCGGGCCGUGAGAGCGGGAGCCCGGAGAUGGGCACUGAGACAAGGGCCCAGGCCCUACGGGGCGCAGCAGUCGCGAAAACUUUGCAAUACACGAAAGUGUGACAGGGCUAUCCCGAGUGCCAUCCGCUGAGGAAGGCUUUUACCCAGUCUAGAACGCUGGGGGAAUAAGGAGAGGGCAAGUCUGGUGUCAGCCGCCGCGGUAAUACCAGCUCUCCGAGUGGUGUGGAUGUUUAUUGGGCCUAAAGCAUCCGUAGCUGGCUAAGUUAGUCCCUUGUUAAAUCCACCGAAUUAAUCGUUGGAUUGCGGGGGAUACUGCUUGGCUAGGGGACGAGAGAGGCAGACGGUAUUUCCGGGGUAGGGGUGAAAUCCUAUAAUCCCGGGAAGACCACCAGUGGCGAAGGCUGUCUGCUAGAACGCGCCCGACGGUGAGGGAUGAAAGCUGGGGGAGCGAACCGGAUUAGAUACCCGGGUAGUCCCAGCUGUAAACGAUGCAGGCUAGGUGUUUGGACGGCCACGUGCCGUUCUAGUGCCGCAGGGAAGCUGUUAAGCCUGCCGCCUGGGGAGUACGAUCGCAAGAUUGAAACUUAAAGGAAUUGGCGGGGGAGCACA